GACGAACGCUGGCGGCGUGCUUAACACAUGCAAGUCGAACGGAAAGGCCUUGCUUUUGUGGGGUGCUCGAGUGGCGAACGGGUGAGUAACACGUGAGUAACCUGCCCUUUACUUUGGGAUAACUUCAGGAAACUGGGGCUAAUACCGGAUAUGAGCUCCUUCUGCAUGGUGGGUGUUGGAAAGUUUCGGCGGUUGGUGAUGGACGCGCGGCUUAUCAGCUUGUUGGUGGGGUAGUGGCUUACCAAGGCUUGGACGGGUAGCCGGCCUGAGAGGGUGACCGGCCACAUUGGGACUGAGAUACGGCCAGGACUCCUACGGGAGGAAUCAGUGGGAAAUAGUGCAAACUGGGCGGAAGGCUGAUGCAGGAACGCCGCGUGCGGGAUGACGGCCGGCGGGUUGUAAACCGCUUGCGCCUGUGACGAAGCGUGAGUGACGGUAAUGGGUAAAGAAGCAACGGCUAACUACGUG
rnacentral:rRNA from 1 species